GACGAACGCUGGCGGCGUGCCUAAUACAUGCAAGUCGAACGCAGUGGGGACGGGUGAGUAACAUGUGGGUAACCUCCCAUCAGAGGGGAUAACACUUGGAAACAGGUGCUAAUCCGAUACUGUUGGAUGUGUCCGCGGUGCAUUAGCUAGUUGGUGGGGUAACGGCUCACCAAGGCUACGAUGCAUAGCUGACCUGAGAGGAUGAUCGGCCACACUGGGACUGAGACACGGCCCAGACUCCUACGGGAGGCAGCAGUAGGGAAUCGUCGGCAAUGGACGAAAGGCUGACCGAGCAACGCCGCGUGAGUGAAGAAGGUUUUCGGAUCGUAAAACACUGUUGUUAGAGAAGCGUUAUCUAACCAGAAAGCCACGGCUAACUACGUGCGAGCAGCCGCGGUAAUUC
rnacentral:rRNA from 1 species